GUCCCGGUACUCCAACGGCAGAGAGAAUGAGCUCAAACCUCAUCCAGUGUGGGUUCGAAUCCCACCCGGGACA
rnacentral:tRNA from 1 species